rnacentral:rRNA from 1 species
UACGGAGGGGGCUAGCGUUGUUCGGAAUUACUGGGCGUAAAGCGCGCGUAGGCGGCUUUGUAAGUUAGAGGUGAAAGCCCGGAGCUCAACUCCGGAACUGCCUUUAAGACUGCAUCGCUAGAAUUGUGGAGAGGUGAGUGGAAUUCCGAGUGUAGAGGUGAAAUUCGUAGAUAUUCGGAAGAACACCAGUGGCGAAGGCGACUCACUGGACACACAUUGACGCUGAGGUGCGAAAGCGUGGGGAGCAAACAGG